AGAGUUUGAUCCUGGCUCAGAUUGAACGCUGGCGGCAGGCCUAACACAUGCAAGUCGAACGGUAACAGGAAGCAGCUUGCUGCUUUGCUGGCGAGUGGCGGACGGGUGAGUAAUGUCUGGGAAACUGCCUGAUGGAGGGGGAUAACUACUGGAAACGGUAGCUAAUACCGCAUAACGUCGCAAGACCAAAGAGGGGGACCUUAGGGCCUCUUGCCAUCGGAUGUGCCCAGAUGGGAUUAGCUAGUAGGUGGGGUAACGGCUCACCUAGGCGACGAUCCCUAGCUGGUCUGAGAGGAUGACCAGCCACACUGGAACUGAGACACGGUCCAGACUCCUACGGGAGGCAGCAGUGGGGAAUAUUGCACAAUGGGCGCAAGCCUGAU
rnacentral:rRNA from 1 species